rnacentral:rRNA from 1 species
AGGGCACCACCAGGAGUGGAGCCCGCGGCUUAAUUUGACUCAACACGGGAAAUCUCACCAGGCCCGGACACCGGAAGGAUUGACAGAUUGAGAGCUCUUUCUUGAUUCGGUGGGUGGUGGUGCAUGGCCGUUCUUAGUUGGUGGAGCGAUUUGUCUGGUUAAUUCCGAUAACGAACGAGACUCUGGCCUACUAACUAGACGUUGGAUCCCUUUGUGGGUCCAUCGCAGCUUCUUAGAGGGACGGGCGGCGUUUAGCCGCACGAGAUUGAGCAAUAACAGGUCUGUGAUGCCCUUAGAUGUUCUGGGCUGCACGCGCGCUACACUGAAGGAAUCAGCGUGUGUUCCCUAUCCGAAAGGAUUGGGAAACCCGUUGAACCUCCUUCGUGAUGGGGAUUGGGGAUUGCAAUUAUUCCCCAUGAACGAGGAAUUCCCAGUAGGCGCGAGUCAUAAGCUUGCGUCGAUUACGCCCCUGCCCUUUGUACACACCGCCCGUCGCUACUACCGAUCGAGUGAUUUAGU